rnacentral:rRNA from 1 species
AUUGAACGCUGGCGGCAGGCCUAACACAUGCAAGUCGAACGGUAACAGGAAGGAGCUUGCUUCUUUGCUGACGAGUGGCGGACGGGUGAGUAAUGUCUGGGAAACUGCCUGAUGGAGGGGGAUAACUACUGGAAACGGUAGCUAAUACCGCAUAACGUCGCAAGACCAAAGAGGGGGACCUUCGGGCCUCUUGCCAUCGGAUGUGCCCAGAUGGGAUUAGCUAGUAGGUGGGGUAACGGCUCACCUAGGCGACGAUCCCUAGCUGGUCUGAGAGGAUGACCAGCCACACUGGAACUGAGACACGGUCCAGACUCCUACGGGAGGCAGCAGUGGGGAAUAUUGCACAAAGGGCGCAAGCCUGAUGCAGCCAUGCCGCGUGUAUGAAGAAGGCCUUCGGGUUGUAAAGUACUUUCAGCGGGGAGGAAGGGAGUAAAGUUAAUACCUUUGCUCAUUGACGUUACCCGCAGAAGAAGCACCGGCUAACUCCGUG